rnacentral:rRNA from 1 species
CGGGGUGCAGCAGGCGCGAAACCUUAGCAAUGUGCGAAAGCACGACUGGGUCAGUCCGAGUGAUUCCUGAUAAAGGAGUCUUUUACUUGUCCUAAAAGCACAGGUGAAUAAGGGGUGGGCAAGUCUGGUGUCAGCCGCCGCGGUAAUACCAGCACCUCGAGUGGUCAGGACGUUUAUUGGGCCUAAAGCAUCCGUAGCCGGCUUUGCAAGUCUUCGGUUAAAUCCACCUGCUCAACAGAUGGGCCGCUGGAGAUACUACAAAGCUAGGGAGUGGGAGAGGCAGACGGUAUUCAGUGGGUAGGGGUAAAAUCCUUUGAUCCAUUGAGGACCACCAGUGGCGAAGGCGGUCUGCCAGAACACGUUCGACGGUGAGGGAUGAAAGCUGGGGGAGCAAACCGGAUUAGAUACCCGGGUAGUCCCAGCUGUAAACGAUGCAAACUCGGUGAUGCAUUGGCUUAUGGCCAAUGCAGUGCCGCAGGGAAGCCGUUAAGUUUGCCGCCUGGGAAGUACGGACGCAAGUCUGAAACUUAAAGGAAUUGGCGGGGGAGCACAAGGGCGAUUGCG